AUUAUUUGAAAUGAUUGGUUGAAAAUUUCUGGACAUAAAAAUAUUAGUAAAAAAGGAUAGAGACAUUUUUGGAAAGAGAAAAAUUCAAAACUCGCGCUUUUAUAAAAAAUUAAUAUCUUUUACUAUAUUAUUAAAAAUCACAUAUAAUGAAGGAAAUUUUAUUUCAAAGUCACCUAUAAUUAUGUCGAGAUAUUUGAGAAAUUUACAGAUAUUAUGUUGCGAAAGAAUUGGCGGUGCGGAUAUUACGCGUGAGAAGGAAAAUAUUUAUCUUUAUUUGGGAAUAUAUUAUUACUUAGUUAAUUAUUUGAAAUGAUUGGUUGAAAAUUUUCGGACAUAAAAAUAUUAGUAAAACAAGAUAGAGGUAUUUUUGGAAAGAGGAAAAAAUUUAAACUCACAUCACUCCUGUAAUUUUCUUCGCUCUUAAAUAUUGAUGCUUUAAAAUAGAACAUAUUAUUUCCCUACUAUCACUUCUGUAAUUUCAUUUCGUUUUUUUUUUCCUACUGUCACUCCUGUAACUUUCCAUCUUCAUGCAACAAAAUUUUUUUUCUUUAUAUUUUCUUGAAAACCAACAUCUAUAUAUUUUUAAAUCUUAAAAGUGACAGUAGGAACAUAAUAUAUGUGUGCCUACUCUAAUUUGUGUCAAAUAUGAAAGUUUAGUUGAUCUCAUUAUAUGCUUAAAUAUUAAUAUCAUUUGUAAUUUUUCAUAUAAAUUUUAGUUAUCAAUUUUAUUUCGCACAUCAAUAUGUAAAUGUAAAUUAUUUUGCAUACCAAUUCAUAGAUAAUAGAGCAGGAUUGAAUUUUACAUUUUAGUUGAAUAUUUACUUUGGUCCAAAUUUUUUUUCUCUAGCUUGUGUACUUUAAUAUGUACUAUAAUUAAGAUUGAUAGUAUAUUUUUUUAUUUGUUAAAAAAAAAUAAAAUUAAUUAGAAAAUCUUUUUACUAUCAUCACAUAAUAAUUUUUAUUAUUCUAUAUUAUUAUGUUAGCCGUGCAUCGCACGGGUGAAAAUCUAGUUUUCAAAUAUAUCAUUCUAUCAUUACCGGCUUUUUUUAUUUGCCCUUAAGUUAACGACAAAAGUGACAUUUUUAAUUUUUUUAACUGUAAUAGAUAUUUAACUCAUGUUGAACCCAAAUUAAUUUAACGGAUUGUAACUGUAGGGAUAUUUUGGAAUGACGGAGGAAACAUACGAGGGUAUAUUGGAAAGAAAAAAAAAAAAGGAAUAAAUAAGAUUUUUUCAAAGUUUUGAGGUAUAUAUAGGCAAUUAUCCUUUUUAAAAUAUAUUAU
rnacentral:lncRNA from 1 species